UUCUAGCCCCGAUUGAAACGGCAUCCUUUUACUUUUUUCUUUAAAAAGUAAAAGAUAGAGUGGAAAGCGGGAAAUUGC
rnacentral:sRNA from 1 species